rnacentral:lncRNA from 1 species
UUGACCCUUAAGACUCUGGCUAAUUCGUAAAAUAGACAGCAUACAAUUUGGCUAUUUACAGGAUGUGUGGCUUAUUAUGCAUAAAAAUAUAUGCUAGGUAUCUUGUAAAGUUACCAGUACAUUGUCUGGUAGACAAUCAACUGAGUUCUGAUCACAAGAUAUAGAGCUAAAUCUUAAGAUCUAUUUCAGAUUUUCAUGCUGGGGUCUUUGUCUAGCUGCGGACGUCCUCGCGUGCCACUUAUAACCUUAGUGAAGGGGGGAUUGGCCAUUCAUCCGUUGCAAAAUAUAUUCAGAAAUCAGAGCAUAAUUUUUUUUUUUUAAAUCAGAAUAUAAUUGAUCCUUAUGAUGAUUGCAAAGAGCACCUGAGGCUUUAAAGAGUUAUCCACUUGCGUUAUAUUUUUCAUGUGCCCUGUUUCCUCUGCAAAAAAGAAACGUCAUUCGCCCUAGAUUAAGAUAGAAUAGGUUAUACAAAUGUUUCGUUGCUGACAAAAAAAAGACUUGAUUGUCCAUUUGAAGGUGCAUUUUCUUGAUAAUUAUGCCAUUUACGUGUCACGCGUAUCCAAGAAGUGUCUGACUUGAGUUCCUAAAUUUUGAAACUUGUCGGUCUAAGUCUUGCUUUAAAGGUUUGGUUAGCUCCGCUGCUUAUAUGAUCAAAAGGAAAGUAGUUUCAAGAGGAGUUUGUUGGGCUUGGCCCUCGGCCUUUAUGGGUUUUGUCAUUGCCAAUUGGUCAGGAAAUGGUAGUAAUGGGCCAACCCAUGAAGUAUGUGAAAACAUAGAAGCAAAGGAAAUGUUUGUGUCAGUUGACAUGAUCAGUCAACAUGUGCUCCGAAAUGCUGCCAUAUAACCCUAUCAAGGUCUUUGUGUGGCUGGGGAUGGGGUUAUAUGAACUCUUCUUAGAAGAGAAUUGAAUGCUUCUUGCAGAGGCUCCGUCCUGGGCCGAGACACGUGGCAGCCCAGGAAGGUCAGAGUUAGGUUCGGACCUCAGGCCCAUGGCCACCAUCUUGAGGCACACCGCACUAGGGCUCCGAAAGGUUCCAGAGAACAAUCCCGCAGAGGGCGGGAAAGAUCCCCCUCGACGCGGGAUUGAGACUAUUUUGGGCAGGUCCCGAAACGUACAGAGGUCGGACUUAUCAGCAGGUAUAAAUGGUAACGCACAUCCACUGUACAAGGUACGCUCACUACUGGCAAAUUACCCCCGACUGUUUUAUUCCUUGUGAAUUCCACUCACCGGAAGACUAACUUGACCGUCGGAGUGCCCCCGAGGACAACCUCGGGGCUCCCCUGCUAGUCAUCCUAUAGAUCUCUUCUCGUUUAUUUUGCAGGGCUUGGACACGUUCUUAUCAUCGGUACGCCGAACUCAUCACGUCAGCUCGGUCCGGGGAAGGUCAGCGCUUCUUCACUUCUCAAAAAGAAAAGAAAAGAAAAAAAAAUUGUGUACCUGACAGCCGACAGGUAUCCGUCAUCCACAAAUUGUGCGAAGAUAGGAAUUUUGCAUUAUCAAUCAAACGAUUGCAUGGAUCGGUUGAAGGAACGGAACCUUUUUCCUCAGCAUCAAUCACGCCACUCUGCCAGCAUAAUAGUGAGUAAUAAGAUUGCAAGACCCAUUUCUAGGCAACGCCUUUAUCAAUAUGCUGUCCCGACCUUUCCUUCCGCUGAACUGCGACGGUAUCUUUGGCGUCGUCCACGUCUGGAGCUUUGACCCUCAGGCUCAGGACAGGAGAGAUCCCAUACCUCGACCUUCAACCUUUUGCGGGACGAGGUGGUCAACGCAUCGUACAGGGGCGUAGAUGAAAGCUUGACUAGCU